AACGGCCACGGUACCCUAACCGUGCGAAGGUAGCAUAAUCACUUGUUCUUUAAAUGGGGACUCGUAUCAACGGCAUCACGAGGGUUCUACUGUCUCCUCUCUCUAAUCAGUGAAACUAAUCUCCCCGUGAAGAAGCGAGGAUAAUACUAUAAGACGAGAAGACCCCAUGGAGCUUUAAACCCAAUUAUAUUCCUAACCCCCACAACCAUUUAAUCUCUUAGGCCCCAUAUACUUGGUUUUAGGUUGGGGCGACCACGGAGUAAAACCAAACCUCCAUGAUGUACGGAACAACCUCCUUAUCCAAGAGCCACAGCUCUAAGAAUUAGUACACUAUCAAAAAAUGACCCAUUAUUGAUCAACGAACCAAGUUACCCUGGGGAUAACAGCGCAAUCCAUUUUAAGAGCCCCUAUCGACAAAUGGGUUUACGACCUCGAUGUUGGAUCAGGAUAUCCCAGUGGUGCAGCAACUACUAAAGGUUCGUUUGUUCAACGAUCAAAA
rnacentral:rRNA from 1 species